rnacentral:rRNA from 1 species
AACGAACGCUGGCGGCAGGCUUAACACAUGCAAGUCGAACGCGUGUAGCAAUACACGAGUGGCGCACGGGUGAGUAACGCGUGGAUAUCUGCCUUUUGGUUCGGGAUAACUCCGGGAAACUGGAGCUAAUACCGGAUGGUUCCUUCGGGAUAAAGAUUUAUCGCCAAAAGAUGAGUCCGCGUACGAUUAGCUAGUUGGUGAGGUAAUGGGUCACCAAGGCGACGAUCGUUAGCUGGUCUGAGAGGACGAUCAGCCACACUGGGACUGAGACACGGCCCAGACUCCUACGGGAGGCAGCAGUGGGGAAUAUUGGACAAUGGGGACAACCCUGAUCCAGCCAUGCCGCGUGAGUGAUGAAGGCCUUCGGGUUGUAAAGCUCUUUUGGCGGGGACGAUGAUGACGGUACCCGCAGAAUAAGCCCCGGCUAACUUCGUGCCAGCCGCCGCCGUAAUAC